rnacentral:rRNA from 1 species
GAUGAACGCUGGCGGCGUGCCUAAUACAUGCAAGUCGAGCGAACGGACGCGAAGCUUGCUUUUCUGAUGUUAGCGGCGGACGGGUGAGUAACACGUGGAUAACCUACCUAUAAGACUGGGAUAACUUCGGGAAACCGGAGCUAAUACCGGAUAAUAUUUUGAACCGCAUGGUUCAAAAGUGAAAGACGGUCUUGCUGUCACUUAUAGAUGGAUCCGCGCUGCAUUAGCUAGUUGGUAAGGUAACGGCCUACCAAGGCAACGAUGCAUAGCCGACCUGAGAGGGUGAUCGGCCACACUGGAACUGAGACGCGGUCCAGACUCCUACGGGAGGCAGCAGUAGGGAAUCUGCCGCAAUGGGCGAAAGCCUGACGGAGCAACGCCGCGUGAGUGAUGAAGGUCUUCGGACCGUAAAACUCUGUUAUUAGGGAAGAACAUAUGUGUAAGUAACUGUGCACAUCGUGACGGUACCUAAUCAGAAAGCCACGGCUAACUACGUG